CGGGGGAGAGGAAGCAGAGGGAGGAAAGCCGACCCUGCUUGCGGGGCCGCUCGCGUCACGCCCCCCCGCCCCGGUUCGGGCAGCCACAUCAUGGCGGCGGCCGGCUGUUUCCCCGGCCCCGGGCCUCGUCCUGAUCGGCGAGGCUGGGAAGGGACCCUCUCUCAUUUCAAAAUAUCCUGUUAGCCCCGUUUUCUCCUAUCCAGGCCUCUUUGCUCUUGCCCCCACCUACCAGCUCUCCCCGCUCCCCGCCAGGCGGGGUUGUCUAGAGGUGGGUCACUGCCCUGGCCCGGGGGCUUUCUUGGUCCCAGGCUGUGGGCUUUGCCUCCUGGACAACGGGGAAGGCUUGGGGGUGGGGAAAGCUUCGCCCUGGACCUCUAGCCCUCAGGGUAUGGUGUGGAGACUUCAGGCCUGGUUGGGAUAGGUCCUUUAUCUUGCUUGGUUUCUUUUCAUUUCUAAUGAACCUGGAAUUGUUGGAGUGGGUGGUAGGUGUAACAAGUGGCCUUUGUGGUCAUGCUGAAGGUACCCAAGAGGAGACUCAUCCUUUGCUUUUUUAACACUAGUGAGAGUAGAUCACUGUAUAACUUCUUGUGAUUCUUUUUCUCUGUUGCCUUUUCCAUUAUACUUCACUUUUGGUGGGCCACUUACUCCAUUUGGUUUAAGUAAUUAAGAAAUUUCCCCUAAAGAAGAAAACAACCCAGAUUUAUAUUCUGUUGAUCUUUUUUUUUUUAACUUUCCUGACAGGUAAAAUGACUUAAUAACAUAGUUGAUUUCCUUAAAAGACAUAUAUGAUAACUUUAGUGUCUUAGUGCACUAGGAAAAUCUUAAGACUUAAAUUGAGUAGAUCAGAUAUAACAGUGGCAGCAGGAAAUAAAGUUUAAGAAUUUGGCUAGUCCCCUUCCUUAUGAGUUUUAGUGAUUAUGCGAUAAGAGUGGAGAGAAAAACAGUUCAUUUGUGCCACCCACCCACCCUAAAAUCUGGAAGUAUAGGUGGCAAACUUGAGUUUUUCAUGACACCAGAAAACAAAAUAAUUCAUAGUGGCCUGAAUAAUGCAUCAGACAUAACCUGAAGUUAUACUUUGUUUUCACGUUUUCUGUGCUACCAUGGAGGCCAUGUAGUGCCUACAGGUUUCCGAACCUGCAAAACCGGGUUCAUGGUCUGUAACCUUGGGCAAAUCGCUUCGAAGGGUCCCAGUUUCCUCAGGUACAGGGUAAAAAUAAUGAUAAAUACCUACCUUAGAAUGUUGUGAGGAUUAAGGACUAAGGGCUUAGAUGGCAUGUGUUUAGAUCAGUGUAUUUUUGAUAAUCAAAGCAGAUGUUCUGGCAUUAAGAGUUAGAUAAACUUCCUUAAGAUGUUCUGGCGUUAAGAGUUAGAUAAACUUCCUUAAGAGAGAGAUUCUGUUUCAAAAGUGAUUUGCUUUAAUAAUUUUUCUUUCUUAGCUAUUCAUUUGACCAUUAAGGACUCAGAUAUUUAUUUUGGACUUAUUUUGCUAUUUACUUACUCUUUGCUUUUACUUACCAAAGGUACAAUAAAAUAAUGACUUUUUCCAGAUCUAGGUUCAUUGGUUGUUUUUUAAUAUAUUGUAUAAAGACUAGGAUAUCAACUUAAAUAGUUUUUAAAAGUCCAAAAGGAGUCUCUACAAACUACCUCUUCAUUCUAAGCCAGAGGACAGCAGGAAAAAUUCUAAGAAACAUCUUGUUAUCUUAAAGGCUUAAUUUUACAAUAUCCAGAAAUUUAAAGGGGCUGUACAUAUUUUAGAAGACAAAAAUCAAGGCGAUAUUCCUGCUGUUCUUCCAUACUCGUUUGUCUUUAUUACCUUAUGCUAUUAAUUUUCAAGCCCUUUAGAUUAAAUUUGCCAUAUAAGUACUUAUCAAGUUAUUUAAUGAAAGCUAAUGUUGAAAAAUAAUUUCUGUCUUCCUUUUUACUACCCAGUUUAGAAUGGAGACUUGAACCAUCAAGAACAUUUAAGAAUGUUGCCACUAAAGCUUUUGUGGGUGGCUGACACAUGAUAUUAAGAUCAGAACAUGAGGUUAUAUUACUAAUGAAUACUCAGGAUUUAAUUUUCAUCUUUCACUGGCAGGAAGAGAAGAAAUUGUUCCUAAAAAAUGAAAGCAUCCUACAGAAUUAUGUACCUGUGGGACUGUGUCCAGUUAGACUGUGCAUCUUAAAAUGCCAUGAUGGAGGUGAAGCAGAUCCAUAGAAUGGCUACUCUCAUUCUCGGGGGUAUAACAGGAGUGGGGAACUUGCAAAUGAGGGAACACCGAAUUGACUGAGGACUGCUCUGGGAGCUUGGAGUAACAGAAUGAAGGUUUAUGUGAUAGAAAAGACGCUGGUUAGGGAGUUCGGAGACUUGGAUUCAAAUUCUGACACUACCUUAGACACAGCUAUGUAUGGUUUGAGGCAGAAUCAACAUGAGUCUCCAUACCUUAGGUUCCUUAUCUAUAAAGUAAGGAGAUUGGGCUGGAAUAAGACUUUUCAACUUCAGUGGUUAUUUGGAGAAAAGAGUUUCCAUCAGGGAAAAAUAAAUUAGAACUAGUAUUUCACAGUAGCAGAUAAAUUUUGGAAAGUCAUUCCCCUUCAGAGAUAAUUUAGGCUGAAAAGAGAAAUUAAAAAAAAAAUUAUUGAGGUAGUAAUCAAUAAAUGUUAUAUUUAAAUGCUUUGUCCAAUAUAUAAGUACAACCCAUGACUCAGGAAAACUAGAACUUCUAGUGUAUAUCCUACCCAGUGAUUUUUUACUUCGAAAGAUAAUUAUACUGUUCUAAAUGUGUUCGCUGGAGGAGCUACUGUUAGAUACAGCAUGGUGGCUGUUUUUUUUUUUUUUUUUAAUGUGUUUUAGCUGACAGUUUACACAGCAAAUUAGAUCCCCAUUCAACAGUUCAUGCACAAAUAUUUCUGUGACAUUGGUUACAGUUUGUAAGUAUGAUGAUAUGUUUAAAACCUUGGUUUUGAGACCUAGAAGAGUUUUCUGGGGGCGAGGGGUAAUUUUCCACACUUAUUGCACCUCCUGGUGGUGUGAAAUGGAUCUGUGUCACAGAACAUUGUGGAACUGAGGGAGAGCAGACAAAAACACAGGCCAGCUGGAGCUGGAAGUGUCAGUUUCCUUCCAUUCCUGGGCGAGUGGCAGAAGCAGCAGCUGUGUUGGGAAAGGAUAAGCGGCACCACUGCCACCAACUAGGACUGGCUUGACCACUGUCAUCCUGUGAACUCCCUUCCUCUAUUUGAGGCUGUAAUAAAAUGAGAUACUUUUAUAUUUUGUCAUUCUGUGGAUGGUAUAGAAUGACAAAAUAGUUGGUAUGCCCUGGUGGCGCAAUGGUUAAGAGCUUGGCUGCUAACCAGAAGGUCGGCAGUUUGAAUCCACCAGCUGCACCCUGGAAACCCUGUGUGGUAGUUCUGCUCUGUCCUGUAGGGUUGCUGUGAGUCAGAAUUGACUCGACAGGUUUGGUUCUGGUUUUUGGUAUAGAUGGUAUAAACUUCAAAGUUGCUUGAGUUCUGUUAAAUUAUCUCUCCAAAUUUGGGAAAUCUGGUGGCGAUGACACAGCAAAUCGGAACUACUCAUUGUUAUCCUUUCUCUUUCAUUGCAGGAAGUCGUAUUAAUAAGUGGCCUUUAUUCUUUUUCUGAUAGUGUUUCAAACAACUCUGGCCGAGGUCUUAAGGCAGCUGCUAUAGAUAGCCCAUGUUAAGUUGUUUCUCUUAAGCGUAGGUUGCAUUUUUUUCCCCAUAAGCUGAUUUUUGUAGGUGUUUAUUUGCUAGUUUUUCAUUCCUAAAUGAUUAGAUAAUGUAAUGAAGCUGUAACAACUUCUGUUCUAGUCCAACUGACCCCAGAGAAGAACCUUUGGCUUUUUAAGUAGCCAUUCGGUCAUUUCGACAGAUAAUACAUUUAAUAUUUAUUGGUUUCGUGCUAGCUAUAUUCUCAGAAUUUGAAAAGUGCAAUACCUGCCUUCAAGAAACUUGUCACUACAGAUAUGUAAUAAAGCCACACUUGAAUUUAUCAAUGGUUUUGCUUUUUUUUCAGUCCUCAGAUGUUUUUCCCCCUUGUUUUCCCUAUCUUACCAGUAAAUCUCUGUUUAGUUUCUUUCCUAGAACUUGAAAGCAAAGAUGAUUAAGUCAGAUUUCUAGUCUUCCCAUAUCAACUUUUCUUUGAACCAGUUGUGGGUAAUUGUUAUUGCUGAAACAAUGAAUUAAUUUUCCUCUCCUAGUAACUGGACACAAGUAAAUAUUAGGAAUUUAAUUCCACGGAAAGGUUAAUUUAUCUUCUACCAGCAUUUCUUCGGGGUGAUUUUCUGUAAUUUAGUCUGCUUAUCACUACUGUCAAGGUGCUUUUAAAAAGCACUUGGUGCCUCUUAAGCUUUCCUGUGCCCUUUAGUGUUAGCUUAUGAGUAGUUUUUUCAUCUGUUUACUGAUUUGUCCACUAAAAGUACUUGGCCUUUUUUAAGUGCUACUUACCAGUACUCCUGGUUUUUAUCAGGGUGGCUCCUCAUAUGAAUCUUCUAAGUCUUUUUUCUGUACUCUUGUAUUAUUUACCUAUUUAUUUGCAACGUUUAAUACUUCCUUUAAGAAAAAAGAAGAGUAUAGGCAAUUUAAUAACUUUUUUCAGUCUUGUAAAAGCUAUGUUGCUUUACCUUUCAUAGUUAGAUCUAUUAUCUACCUGGAAUUUAAUUUUUUAGCUUUUAUUAUGGAGAUUUUCAAAUAUAUCAGAAAUACAGGGACUAUUAUAAUGGACCCCUGUGUACACAUGACCCAGCUUCAACAAUUACCAACUUAUGACCACUCUCGCUUCAUCUGCACCCUCCAGCCACUACUCUCCGUAUUAUUUUGAUGCAAAACCCAGGCACCUUAUCAUUUAAUCUAUAAAUAUAUCGAUCUUUUAAAGGUAAGAGUAAUCUUUUUCCUUACCAUAACCAGGGUACCAUUAUCACUCCUUUAAAAAAAAAAAAAAAGAUGAUGCCUUAAUAUCAUCAAAUGUUCAGGCUUAUUCACAUUUCUUAAUUGCUUCAUAAUUCCUUUUUGAUGUUACUGACUGGUGAGUAUAGCUCUUAAUCUGUAGAUUUACUCUCUCCCCCUUCCUCCCUGCCUCGCAGUUUAUUUAUUGAAGGAACUGGGUGGUUUCUCCUGUAGCAUUUCCCUCAGUCUGAAUUCUGCUGAUUGCAUACCCAUGGUGCUAUUUACAUGUUCUUCUAUCCUCUGUAUUUCCUAUAAAUUGGUAAUUAGAUUGAGGAAAUUCAAGCUCGACUUUUGGGGAGCAAGACUACGCCAUUGAUUGAAAGUGCAUUUUUAAUACUUCCGAUGGCUCUUGUGUACAGAGAGUUAAAUCUUUUGUCUCAGCUACACAGUUACUUUACCUUCUGAAACAACAUAUUUAACUCUUAAUUCUUUGUGUUUUUUUAAAGUGUCACUUCAUAUGCACUUUCCUUGUUUAGCGUAAUUGUGUGUUUGGCCGUCUGUUUUUCUAGUAAUUUGCCAGCUAAGCGUGCUCUCCCACUGUACAUAGGCAUUUCCAGAUGGUGUUAAAUCUGGGAAGCCAUCAGUGCUUCAGAGCUCAGAACUGGAUCCGAAUUCUGGUUCACUACUGAGAAACUGAGUGGUCUUGAGCAUUAGAGCAGUAUCUCUAAAUUUUCCUUUCUGUAAAGUGAAGGUAAUAUUUAUUUCACAGGGUUAUUUUAAGGAUUAAAUGCAUGUAAAACAUGUAAAAGAGUACCUGACCCGCAAUAAACUCUUAAAACGUUUAUUAUUAUUACUAUUAUGCAUAAAAAUAAUACAUAGCAUUUAGAAAAACCAAAGGAAUGUAGUAUUUGAGAGAAGUGAGAUAUUAGACUAAAUUAUUUACAAGCAUGUAAGAAUGGUAUCCUAAUCCAUGAAUCAUUAUUUUCCACUGGGCACUCUCUUCUGCAACUUCAGCUGAAUAGACAUUUUAGAAAGCUCAUUUAAAUAUCUCUGUCAUGUGUGCUUUGUGUUAUUUUUACCAAGUCAUAAAUGUUUUUUUGUUAAUAUUUUAAAGCAUAUUACAGAAAUACUCUUUGGAAAGACAUGUUGCAGAAUAAAGUGUUUGGAAAGACAUACUGCAGUUUCCAUCUGCCAGUCCUUGUAAAAUUUUGUUAAACUUGUUUUUUAUUUUCUCAAGAUUUUAAAGAUACUGCUAAUAGAAAACAUUUCUUCUAAAAUGUAAAAAGAUUUAUGAAUGUAAACUGAUGUUGAUAGUUUGUUCUUAAAGGAACUGAACAGUAUCAAGGAGAAAAAUCCUCUGAAAUGUCUGGUAUCAAAUUUAUGGUCUCAGAUAACAGAUGAACAGUAUACAAAAGGCCCAGUGCAUAAAAGGCUUUCCAUUCCCCCAAAUUGGCAAGAAAUUCUUUUGGCUUACCAGGAUUCCAUUUAGCCUGAAAAUUAAAUACAGGUAAAGCAACAUAACAUAUUCCCAUGCUGGAUUUAAUUUAUAGCUAUUAGAAAAGUCUAGUUAGCCAAUUAUUUUAGAAUGACUUCUUUUGAUAUAUGAAUUUUGUUUAGCUUCCAAAUUCUUAGAAAGAGUAUUUAAAUGAUUCAAAUACAAAUUUUUUUAUAACUCACACAAAGUCACAAUUAUGUGGUAAAUGCACCUGCAUGCUUUUAAAAUGUUUCACUAAAGAAUUAUCAUUCAGAUAGCCUUACAUUUUUAUAGUAGAAAAAAGUCUUGCAUUAAAAAUUCAAUUCAGUUUGUUUUUCUUACCAUUUGUUUCAAUGCAUUUUUAGCAGAUCGUUGCAGAACAGUGCAAAUAAACAUAAUGAGAUUUUUUUUCUUCUUAUUUUUCCCAUAGUUUUCAGUUCUCGUUUUUAAAAAGUGACUUAAGGCUGUAUGGAUAAAACUAUGUAUUUUUGUUUGCAGUUAAACCACCAUAGUUAAAUAAUAUCCUUAGUUUGAUGUUUGGCUUGUAGUUACAAAUUUGGUACUGAAUGGACUCUAGAAGUGUGGCUCAUUUCUGAUGAUGACAGAAUUUUUAACCUAUAAUCUACCCUCAACUGAGCAAUAGUCCCCCACUUAAUGACGGCGUUCCCUUCCAGUGACUCCAUCAUAAGUCAGUUCUGAUUGGCUGUUUUAUCAUGUCUGUAAAAUUGUUACCGCAAUAACGUGGAUUGGAGUCUCCUGCCGCAGUAGCCAGUUCUGAGACAGGGUUGAGGUGAGCAGCAAGAGUUUUAUUAUGUAUUGAUAUAUAGGAGACAGAGACAGAGGGGAAUAGAUUCCUCCAAAAAACCUGUCUCCCCCACUGGAGAUGGGCUGAAGGCUUUUAU